UACGUAGGCAGCGAGCGUUGUUCGGAAUUACGGGGCGUAAAGAGUGUGUAGGCGGUGCUCUAAGUUCGGUGUGAAAUCUCCCGGCUUAACUGGGAGGGUGCGCCGGAAACUGGAGUGCUCGAGCGUGGGAGAGGAAAGCGGAAUUCCUGGUGUAGCGGUGAAAUGCGUAGAUAUCAGGUGGAACACCUGCGGUGUAGACGGCUUUCUGGACCAUUGCUGACGCUGAGACACGAAAGCGUGGGUAGCAAACAGG
rnacentral:rRNA from 1 species